GGGGCCACCAAGCCGGCUCUCCUCCUCACAGAAGCCAGGGCCGGGCAUCCAAGAAGCAGCAGGCAGCCCCGGUUCUGGUGUCAUCGUGGGUGGCCACCUUGGCUUUUAGGCUUCCUACCUGGGGCGGGUGGGUGCUCGCCCACCCUCCCGCCCUCUUUCCUCUCCACUCGUGAGCCAGAGCCGCAUCCAGCACCACGGACAGCUCCCUGACGGCAGCCUUAGAGUCUCAGGAAGAGGAAAAGGCUGAGGGCAGUUGGCAUUCCAUCUUCAGGAAAUUGCAUUUGUCCUCUUUGAUCCCAAGAGAGUGAAGGAGUUAUGACCAAGGUCACUCAGCUGGGUAGUGGAAAUGCCAAGAUGCAGCCUCCUGAACUCCAGCCUGGCCCUGCCUACGGAGGCUCAUGGUAGGAGCCAGGAAAAAAGGGGAGGAGAAGAGAGAGAAAAGGGGAGAGAUUUUGUUUUCAUCAAAGUGUGUGGGGGGGGAGGUGGCAGGAAGAGGACAGAAAUAAAAACUCACACUACUUUCUUUCUUCCCUUCUGUCGCCCCUCCCUGAGCUGUACUCAGAUGCCAAAGAGAGAUGCCAAGGGGCCAGCUUUUCUGUCCUUUUUUGUCUUGCUUCCUCUGGCCUUGGCUCCCCAGCCUGGCCCCCCACCUUGCUGGGCUCAGGCUUCAGGAAGAGAGAGACGGCUGCCCUAAGAUGGCCACCUCUGACAGGUGGAUGGACACAGCGGCGGCGGGCCGGCCAGAACAUGGAGGAGUCUUCCUGCCAGUGGAGUUGGGAAGAGAGGAUGAGAGAGAGGAAGGCAGGAGGAGUGAGACAUGGCAGCCCGAAAGGAGGAUGAGCCCGGCACGGGAGCAGGGCUGGGGGAGAGGCCUUCCUUCCUUCCAGACCCCUGGUGAACACCGGUGGUCAGAGGCCUUGACGAAGGAUCUGAUGGAC
rnacentral:lncRNA from 1 species